UACGGGGGGGGCAAGCGUUGUUCGGAAUUACUGGGCGUAAAGGGUCCGUAGGUGGCUUGCUAAGUCAGACGUGAAAUCCCUCAGCUUAACUGGGGAACUGCGUCUGAGACUGGCGAGCUUGAGGGCAGGAGAGGAACGCGGAAUUCCAGGUGUAGCGGUGAAAUGCGUAGAUAUCUGGAGGAACACCGGUGGCGAAGGCGGCGUUCUGGACUGCAUCUGACACUGAAAGACGAAAGCCAGGGGAGCAAACGGG
rnacentral:rRNA from 1 species